CCCGACAUUGGAUUAGAUAACCUAAAUACAUAAUCAAAUAUAGCCAUAAUCAAAAGACAUAGGGACAAACAUUAUUGAGGGUUAUUAAUUUUUUACUGUUUUCAAAUAGUAGCAGUGGUGAGGCUGCUGUUAAAACAGAGGGAAGAGUCAGGUGAGGGAGUGAAAGAUGGAGGGAAUGAGGUCUCCCUGAAACAUGGUCAGGAAUUCUGAUAAGUGUCAUCUUGGAGUCCUGUAAGGGUUUUCCUGUAAGGUCUUAACACUUUUUUGCUGCAUUGACCCUCUUGUACGGUGUUUCUUCAGAACUGAUGCUUUUGCACAGUGCCAACCUCACCUCUUGGAUCAGUCUGACAGCUGAUUGAGACCGGAUCACUUCUCACAUCACCCGAGCACAACCUCAGUGUCACGUCAUACCAACGGGCAGGCCGAAGAUCAUAAACUUCAAGCCUCGUACCAUUUGGGUACUGAGGGCUCCUUCCUUUGACCUCCACCUCCACCCCUGUCCAUAUUCCAGAAGGAGUAUCCCAAACCACAACCAGAGCAGUUCCCCCGGCCACGUACUCACAAUACAGACCAGUCACAGUCAAAAAGGCUGGUUUAAAAAGAAGGGGGGGGGGGGGGGGGAGAGAAACAGUUGUUUACUUCUGAGGAUGCAAAACCCAUUAGAAUUAAAAGAUAAAAUAACCCUAAAGCUUUGAUUAUGAAGUCUGCUUG